rnacentral:rRNA from 1 species
UAUGGNUCAACCAUAGUGUGCUCUGGAAACUNUCUGACUUGAGUGCAGAAGGGGAGAGUGGANUUCCAUGUGUAGCGGUGAAAUGCGUAGAUAUAUGGAGGAACACCAGUGGCGAAAGCGGCUCUCUGGUCUGUCACUGACGCUGAGGCUCGAAAGCGUGGGUAGCGAACAGGAUUAGAUACCCUGGUAGUNCACGCCGUAAACGAUGAGUGCUAGGUGUUAGGCCCUUUCCGGGGCUUAGUGCCGGAGCUAACGCAAUAAGCACUCCGCCUGGGGAGUACGACCGCAAGGUUGAAACUCAAAGGAAUUGACGGGGGCCCGCACAAGCGGUGGAGCAUGUGGUUUAAUUCGAAGCGACGCGAAGAACCUUACCAGGUCUUGACAUCCCGAUGCUAUUCUUAGAGAUAGGAAGUUACUUCGGUACAUCGGAGACAGGUGGUGCAUGGUUGUCGUCAGCUCGUGUCGUGAGAUGUUGGGUUAAGUCCCGCAACGAGCGCAACCCUUAUUGUUAGUUGCCAUCAUUAAGUUGGGCACUCUAGCGAGACUGCCGGUAAUAAACCGGAGGAAGGUGGGGAUGACGUCAAAUCAUCAUGCCCCUUAUGACCUGGGCUACACACGUGCUACGAUGGUCGGUACAACGAGUUGCGAGCCGGUGACGGCAAGCUAAUCUCUGAAAGCCGAUCUCAGUUCGGAUUGGAGGCUGCAACUCGCCUCCAUGAAGUCGGAAUCGCUAGUAAUCGCGGAUCAGCACGCCGCGGUGAAUACGUUCCCGGGCCUUGUACACACCGCCCGUCACACCACGAGAGUUUGUAACACCCGAAGUCGGUGAGGUAACCUUUUAGG